UUAAUUAACCCAAUAAGAUUCAGAGAAACUUGUUCAUGCAUUUAUUUUCAGCAGGGUAGAUUAUUGUAGGAUCUUACUUCCUGUCUAUAAAGCUUUGAAUGGCCUUGGGCCUGAAUUUAUCCCAGAUGUAAAUCUGGGAUAAAUAAGCAGAAUAUGAAACAUCCACACCUCAGUGGUCCUCAGGAAGAGGUUCAGGCUACUCAGUGUUCCCAGAGUCAUUAGAAACAAGGUGAAGCAGCUUUUAGUUCCUACACUCUUCACCUGUGGAACAAAGGUCCUGAACAG